rnacentral:lncRNA from 1 species
GAUGUCUGUGACACUUGGGGUUUGAAGGAGAAUUUGGACACUGCAGCUUUAAGAAUGCCGUACUGCGAAAUCUUUCUCCUUCAAGUGACUGCAGAACCGCAGCAGCAGCAUGGGGAGGAGGCAGGAGGAGGAGGAGUAUGUGGAGGAGGAGGAGGAGGAGGAGAGAGGAAGGGAUACCCACUCCCGGGGUCAGCCCGUUGGGUACCUCGGACUGGGGAGCGCUCAGCCCCAGGCAAUAUCCAAACGCAAUCAGGACCUUACUUUGGGUUGGUUUCCCUCUCCCACAUGCUUGGGGCGGGGGACUCCACAGACUUACUGAGGAGUUUAAGCUUGGUCCUUGCCUUGGUGCGUGCGUUGUCUGGUUACUGGCUCUUUUCAGCCCUGUGGAAUUGGGCUGGAGAAUUCGGGUCUGAUCUCUACUGUGAUCUUUCCAGUCUGCCUUGAACUCUGGGAACACAGACGCAGUCUUCACUGCCUUAUUAAUUGGGGGUGGAGGUUUUCUUUUUUUUGGGUUUAAUGAGAUGAGCUUUGGAGGGAAACUCAAAACAAGGACUUGACUUGUGACUAUGGGGGCAGAGGCUGCAGCAUUUCAGAAGGGAUGAAUUUCCUCUGUGUUAGUAGUAGGUGUUGAAUGAUGGUGCCUGGGACGCCAGGCAGUUGGGGGUGUGCUCCAUAAGGGGCUCAUUCAGAUGGAGAUUGCGCAGAGGCAGCAGAAAGCUCACUUUGGGCAGCAGCUUGUUUUGGGGAAAGGCACAAACAGCCCAAGGCCCCUGAGCCCUGGUCUCUGGGACCAGACUCCCCCCCACCUGGCAAAAGGGCUGCCCCAAAGCCAGUUGCUGCCUCAGUAGGUGCCUCCUGGAAGAGCUCCCAGUCUGGCACUGCUGGCAUGGCAUUUCCAGACAGGCCGUGCUUGGAUCCAGGUCUGCACUGGGGGUGACGUUAUGCAGGACCAACGUGGCAUCUACCCAGGUGGUCCCAGGCACUGGAAGGGCUGAGCUCCUCAAAAUUCCUUCUCAAGCAAAAAUGUGUCUUUUUACCAAAAAAAAACCACUUUCGGUCUUGCAAUAAAUCAGCUUGAAGGGUGUGCAGCAAACCCCUCAGAUAAAUUAUCCAGGCAAGGCCCCGAAACAGCAACUGGGCCGAGGCUGGCGAUGCACCGUGACCUCCUUGGGUUCCUGCACUGUGUUCUGGUCCUUGCUGUAGAGCCAGACUUGAAGGCUCAUCUGGAGAGAACCGUGCCUGUACUCCACCUGGGGCUGCUGGUGUUGAAGCUCCUUGGGGCGUGAGAGGUGCUCCAAUCAAAGCUUCCGUAGCCAUUUGGAGAAAUGCGGGCUCAUAGACAAAUAUUUUAUAGGGUCUUAGACAACACAGUUGCCUAGACUGGGAGAGCCCUACAGGAUUUAGGAGAGGCAACCCCUAUUUCCCUAAUUAGGAGUGUCUUUCUACUUGCCACUUUCGCAGUCCCCAUUCUGUCCCUCACAACCCUUUGUCUUGAUCCACCCAUUUUUUUAUACAUUCCCUGUAUAUUUAAAACCAUCUUUGACCUCUGCUCGUAAAUCUGUGGCGGGUGUUUGCAGAACCCCCUGAAUGUUAUGCGGAACUCUAAUUUUUCAGACUACCAUCCUUAGAUGUGAAAGAUUUCAUGUCCAGUGCACCCAGACAGGUCAUCAGGGUCCCACACCCUGGGGUCUUUGAGGUCAGCACCACGUGAUAUCUGUGAAUUUGUGUGCAUCAGGCAGAGCUUGACCCCCGACUCUAGGAAGCUGCUAGGAUGUGCCGUUUGGACAAACGAUGAGUCUCCCCUCAUCAGUAGGAUGGAGGUGUCAUGGCAUUGCCACCCUGGGGAGCUGGAGGACAGGGCUGGCAUGCCCAAGCACACUCAUCUCCCACUCAGUGCCUCCCUACCCAGCCCGGAUGACAAAUAAUCAUCCUUUAUAUCUGGAAUUAAUUCCUUUAUAUCUGGAAUUAGCCAAGAGAAAGACCUCUUGUCAAUGACUGCAAAGCAAAUGCUGCUGUUGGCCCCCAGCAUCCUGUCCAUGUCCACUGGUCUCUGGUCCCCUAUGGGGAGGUCAGGUGAGACAGGAACUUCACAAAUGUGCUGUGAUGGGGAGCAGGUGACCCCUGAGCCCAGCGCUGUGACGUCACUGGAGCUUGUGAAAUGAACUGCACACACUGCCAGGAUGAGCUGAACGAGAGGCUGCCACAAGUUUCCCAGCUCCUUCCCUCAGGCAGGCGCUGUCUGGACCAAAGGGACCACUCAAGACAGCCGGGGAAGAAGCAGCCAAGAUCCCCAUGGCCUUGUGCCUGCCCCACAAUAACAUCUAGGCGGUGAUAGGUCUUUAAAAAGAAUUCUCUAUCUUUCCAUCCCCCAGAGUACUUGCUGCAGGGCACAUUAUUAUUAUCCAGUAAUUGCUGAGGGGAGAAAAUGAGGCGGGCCUGGUCCUGGCAUUAGGUGAGGGUGUGCUGGAGGGGCACGGAGCGGGGUGUAGGUCUUGGUCCGAGGCUCCUGGGCACCUCGCAAUGCACCAGUGCUGACUCAGGGCUGCUCUAGCGCUCUCCUCUCGCACCCCAUCAACUGCCCCAGCCUUGGCCAGCUGAGCCCGUGCUGCCGGUUCUUCGGUCUCCUUGCGCAGGGACAGUUGGAACCCAAGCUGCUGCGGGCCCUCCCCCGCCCUCCUGGGCCAAGUCAGCAGUGCUGGCGGCUGCGGGGCUGCAGCGGCGGGCGGCGCAGGGGCCCUGCACCACUGCUCCGGGCUGCCGGCGGCGCGCUCACGUCCCGACGGCCACCUCCCGGCGGCUGCGCGCAGCCCGCGCCGAGACAGGACCCCGUCCCUGAUUGGUGCGUGAGUGAGACUCUGGCUUUGUUUAUACAACGAUUUCUUCACGACUCUACUUCACCGGAGUUGAGGGCUGGGGCAGGAGGCAGUCUUCCACGGCGCGAAGGAUGACAAACGGAGCUCUUGUACCGACUGCCUUCGGGCGGGCAUCCUUGGACGGGCCGUUUUCUCAAAUGCUUCUGUAUGGAGCACCCACCAGGUGUGGGGCGUGAUUUUUGGGAACCUCGGGAGAAGAACAAGAUGUGCAGCUCCUCGGAAGGGUUAGGAGGGUGAAGGCUUUGCGAGGAACCCAGGGAAGCCGUGUCCAGGGCCCUGGCUUUGGACUUCCUACUCUGAAUCGUGGACGCCAGUUUGGAAAGCGGGGCUGCCAUUCCAGUUGGGGGGUAAGGAAAGGAUUCCCAACUCAGGCAUCCUCUUGGGUGAGGGCAAAGGGACCCUCUGGGACCACACCCUUGAAUGCUCCCACUCAGGAUUCCUGGGAAAGCCUAUGGAGACAGUUUGGGGUACAAAGGCGGUGGGAGAAGGUUUUGUCCCCAGUGUCAUGGAGUUAGUUGUGGAAGGUUAAGGUUGGAUCCAGAGGAAGUCCAGCUUCCCCUGCAGAGGGAAGCUGAGCCAGCAAAUGUGGGUGGGGUGCAGUAGCUGCUGACCCUCCUGGGUGAUGUGAGGGGCUUAGGUGGCAGGAGCCAGGGGCCUAGGGACAGAGAGAGCAGCCCCAGGGGGUCCAGACUGCACCUUGUGCCCUGAAUAGCAGCCUCUGGUGCAGGUCUCAAUUAUGCCAGCAGCAUGAAAAUGCUGCCCGACUUGUCCCCAGGGGCUGGUUCCUUGGCAGAAGCCCUGUCUCCCGACAAGAUGGGAAGUGAUGUCACGCUGCGCACAGGAGCCUGCUCUUCUGGGGAUGUUCACGGGUGUGACACAGUUCAGAGACUGUUGCCUCUCACUGACCUGGACCUUGGACUUCCACAGGAACAGCCUUGGCACUGGCGGCCGCUUCUUCCCAUCGCUCGCGUUAGUGUCUUCACCUUGGAGGCUGCCCUGGGAGCCUGCAUUGCGCUGGGAGGAGGAGGGAGGUCGAAGCGGAGAAGGGGCAGGGGAUGGCAGGGGUCGUGGGGCCUGCAGACCCUGCUCUGUGCUGAUGUCAUUAGUUUUUUAGGCCUGUCCAGAAUGACACCAGGAGCCCUCCUGUUCAACCUGGGACAGGCACAGCACUGCGGCUGCCAGUCUUCCUGCCAAGGACAUGGGGACAGGCCGCUCUCCAGGGGACUGCCUGCACCCUCCAGGCAGAGCCAACUGGCCAGCCAAGUCCCUGUGGCUUCUCCGGGGACUAAGACAUAAGAAAAGGUGAGAGCCUUGAGAACAAAUGAUGGGCCUGGGCAUCGACUGGAAAUGGGACACUGGUGAUGCUCUCUUGGCAAGGUGGCAGCACCCUGAAUCCCGAAGACAAGGAGUACCAGGGAGGCAGGUGGGGGAGGGCAGGAAAAGGCUCCAGGUGCUGCUGGGAUCCCAGGGCUCCAGGGCCAGAUCCUGACCCAUGACACUUCCCCAUGGACUGUUUUUGCUUUUCGCCCAAUGCAGAGUCAGCAGUUUCUCAGCUAUUCUCAUUCUCUGCAGAUCUGACUAAGGAUCAGAACCUGUCUUUCCUUUUGUGCAUGUGAACUUUAACCCCACAAAUGCAAGAUACUUAGAAAUCAUCUGGUCCAAGGCCCAGAGUCAGAGAUGAGGAUGGUGAGGCUCACAGAUUAACUGACUUGCCCAAGGACAUGGGACGCUCAGGGCAGACCUGGGAGUCCCUGGAAAAUGUUCCGACCUGGCAUGUGGGACAAGGAUGAAAUCAUCAGCCCUGGACCCAUCAGGCGCCCCAACUCAGGUGAAGUAGGACAAGGUAAGGAAAUUGGGCACUGGGAGGUGACACGGACCUGGGGUGUUAAGAACCAGAGGCAUAAUUUACAGGACGUCAGGUAGUUCUGCUCUGAGAUCUGAACAGUGCCCUUGAGCAGGUUUGCAGCACCUCUGGUUUACAACUCUCACUGCACAAAGUCCCAAGAGGAGAAAACAUGGGACUUCCUUAUAGUUGUUCCUCUUUUCAAUUCUCAGAAAUCCGGGCCCCUUGAGUCUGGGGGCUCCCGGGUGGGUUAUUAGUGCUGUAAUUCAGAAUUUCUCCAGCAGAGGGCUCCAGAGGACGCAGGAAGGAGACCCAGUGAUCCCUGCCCAGCUGGGUGGUUUGCAGAGCCCGGGUUUUAGCUUUAUUUAGUUCCAUGCGUUCAGGCAGAAGAAUUUUCAACUGGUAAAAACAGAAAGUUUACUUAGAAAUUUCCUUGCCAUUCAGGAUGUGUGUCAUCUCCUAGGUCACUCCACAUUUCAUUUUGGCCUCUUAUAAAGUUCUGUUGAACACACUACAGGGGUGCGCUGUGGCUUUCAUUGUCAUCCUUUCUUUGAGUAGGCUUGAUGCGUCGUUUGUACAUCUGUUAUCUGAGGAAAUUUAGCAAUAUUCCCAGGGAAGGCUGGCCAUCCUUGAACAGGGUACCAAAGGACAAUUGGGAUGGGCCACCAGCAAUGCUGACCUGAGCAUUCUGGUCCAUUUGCAAGGUCUUCAGGCCACCUUUGGGUUUCGGGUUGGGCCUUGUGCCUGCCUCUUGCUUGAGGAGUGUUACAGAAGGAUGGUCGCAAACCCAGACCUUUGGAUCAGCCACUGGGUUUGGUCCCCUUCUUUCCUACCAGCCUCCUCCUUGGUGGUCUGCCUUUCUGUCCUUGUUUGGGGGUUUCUAUUCGGAAUCUCAGCUGACUUUUGUGCCCAGUGAGUUCCUUCUUUCCUCCCAAACAGUUCCUCUUGUUUAACAUUGAUUUGGUGUUGUGAGUAGAACCGAUUUGAAGACCCUUGAAGCUAAAAUGCUGUGUGCUCAGACCCUUCAGCUACUCGGGGGGAAUUUCUGCCAUUAUCCAGAAGACAGCCUGUUUUCCUGUAUCAUGAGAUUAUCUCUCUUCUCCAUGGUAGAAUACGUUUUAUCGAUUGCUCUUGUUUCGUAGAUUAUGUAGACCAUACAGGUGCUAACUCCUUAGUCUUCCAGUUUAGGGCAGUACAAGGCUGUGUUGUACAUGUUCGUGUGUACACAGCAAAUGCUUGUCGAGGUCAUUGCUGCAGAGCAGGGGAGCUCCCAGACCCCUUGUGGUGAUGUAGGUGGUGUUUAGGUUGACUCGACAGGAGUGGAGAAAGUUAACCAAGAAAUUUGACAAGGGUCGUCUCAAAUGGGACCAUAGGCAACCUAUAGCUUUUUGACUCUCUGGCAGUGUAAAAUCAUUAGAUUUGCCAAAGAAUUCUUUUUUUUUUUUUUUUUUUUGAGGAAGGUUAGCCCUGAGCUAACUACUGUCAGUCCUCCUCUUUUUUGCUGAGGAAGCCUGGCCCUGAGCUAACAUCGUACCCAUCUUCCUCUACUUUAUACGUGGGAUGCCUACCACAGAAUGGUGUGCCAAGCAGUGCCAUGUCCGCACCUGGGAUCCGAACCGGCGAACCCCAGGCCACGGAGAAGCGGAACAUGCACACUUAACUGCUGUGCCACCGGGCUGGCCCCCCAAAGAAUUCUUGAUGGUACCUUCUUGAUAAUUCGGUUCAACCCAACAAGCAUUUAUUGGGCAUCCACUGAUGUGAGAAUGUGGGCUGCGAGUAGGUACGAACAGUACAGGAUAUGGUCCCUGCCUUUAAAAAUCAACAGCAUUUCACUGUGUGACAGAAGGGUGGCAAAGCAACAAGGCGUGGGGACACUUCUCAAUGAUAGAGCUGACGGUCCCAGUUCUGCCUUUUCCUCCUUCCUCUUUGAGCCAAGUCCUGGUCAAGAGUGGACACUUGGAGAUUGGGCCAGGGUGCUGGCUCACUUGAGUUUAGAAGCAUCGCUAGUUGCCCCAUCCAGUCCUGGGGCUCAGGGUCCUGUUGCAGGGCCCGCUGAAGGCCUGGUGCUCGCUUUCUUGGGGCAUCUUGCUUCAGGGUCUCUCUGCUGGGGGGUGGGGUGUUUGGCCUGAACUUCUUGUCCAAAAAGGGCCUUCAGAUUUUUUACACCAUUUCUAGUAAACAGCACGAUUCUAUUGUAUUUGGAUUGUGUGUGUGCGCUAAAAGCGUUCUGUUUUUAAAUUUUAAAUGUUUAAAAUGUGCAUUUUUCUAACCCUGUUUUGAUAUUUCUUCACUUUGUAAACUCCCAGGUCCGCUAAGACAUGGCCGUAGCCUGGGUUUCUCAUGCCUCCUGAAGGGCCCUGCCACCGCAAGGCAUCGCCCCUUUGUGGUCUGAAGGUCCCCUUGCCCUGCGGCCCAAAGGUUGUAAAUGGUCCAUUCAAGGUCUCAGGGAUAUCAGGCUUCCUUCUGUGUAAUAAAUAAGCGCUUAUUUCACAACAGUGUAAUAAAUAAGUGCUUAUUUCACAACAGGGAGUGAACCAAGCAUAAGUGUUGUUUUUUUUUUAAAGUACAAAUUUCUUUUUCCUUCAAAACGGGAGGAGUAAGAUAAGACUGGUUCGUGAUAGCAUUGUGAAAUGGGCCAAGCUUGUCUCUGAUGCUCGUCUUCACCCUGAUGGCCUCCCAGGCCACCCCGUAGGUUCAGAGGCACCUCAGGUCACCAAUGAACCUCUUCUGAGCACCUCUGCUCAGCCUGAGCGCCACAUUGUGUCGUGUCUGAGCCAUCUCGUCCCUCUCUUCUGCCUUAGAAGUUUGCAAAUUCUAUUGGGGAUCCAAGUGCACAUAAGCUCCUGGAAGGCACAGGCUCCUCUCAGCCAUUUCCUGAAGACUGUAGUGCCUUGACUCGAAGGAGAGGUUCCUACUAGCAAAAUCCCGCUUUGGAGUGAAGGCUGCUGAGGGAUACUUGAGCAGACCUGCCAGGUCUCCAAGCCACCUCCUGUGCAACUGGCCCUGGAAUUGGUUUGCUUUUCAUAACUGCUUUUUUUCUUGGCUUCUUCAGGUCCCUGGAGGCCGAAAGUGGCUGCUCUCCCAAGGUGUUCCCUCUAGGCAAGUGGAAGAGACACGGCUCCAGCAAAGAAGUCCUGUGAGUGCCUUAUAUCUUUCAGCCAGGAAUCUGGAUGCCUGCAACACACAGUUUUCUGAGGGCUGUGCUAAGCAUUCUUCCUAUUUCUAGAAAGACCUGGGUGGUGCUAAUCCGCAGCUAACUUCAAUGGAAGGGGCAAUGACUACAAGUACAUCACUUGGUAGCGUCUGCCAAAAGGAUUGAGGAGGAGUGUUGAUGUGGCUGGGUAGAGAAAAAGGGGUUCCACCAAGAACACUGACCUGCAUCAUUCAUGAGAAUCAUCCCCAUGGUCCUCAUGGUGGAAAUAUUUAUAUACUCUAGGAUCAGGGUGCCUUUCUUUCUAGCUCUUUUUCUGUUGGCCUCGGCUAUCUUUUAGAGUAGACUUACCUUAGAUGGACAGCCCAGUCCACCAAUUACUGUGUCUCUUUAACAUCUGCCCUGUUUUGCAAGGGCCCCAGCCGUCCUUGGCGUUUCUACAGCAUUCCCUGCUCCACGAUCGCAAAGCCCAGGUUUGGAAUUCUCUUCAACCCACACUCCAAUGGAUGACCCUCUCUUCCAUAGAACAAUCCACAUUUCCUACUGGCAUGGGUUACUUUUCCUUUUUUUUCUUCUUUCUGAUUAAUCAAUAGAAUAAUGUGG